rnacentral:rRNA from 1 species
AUGGAGAGGUUUAGGGAGGCAUUGGAGAGCUGUGAUCUAACGGAUAUUGGCUACAUAGGGGACAAAUUUACUUGGUGGAAUCACAACAGGGAGCUAGCAUCAUACAUCUGUGAGAGAUUGGAUCGUGCAACAGCAAACGAACAUUGGUGUGAGGCAUUCCUAGAAUUUUCAGUGCUCAAUGGGAACCCGAGGCACUCGGACCACCGGCCGAUGAUUGUAUGUACUGAAGGACGUGCACGCAAUGUGUACAAGGGCGAUAGAAGCUUCCGGUUCGAGGCUUGGUGGCUACAGGAGGAGGGUUGCAGAGAGGUGGUGAAGGCAGCAUGGGAGGAGGCUACCAUUGGUGGGGGGGACGUGAGCAGCGGAAUGCAGUCAGUUGCGGGAUCGUUGAGGAGGUGGCAGAGAGAUGUAGUGGGUGAACUCGAAGGAAGAUUGAAGAAGGCCCGCAAUGAGCUAGAAGUGUGUAUGCGCGCCCCCAUUAGUGAGGAGAAAAUUAAGGAGGAGGCUGCACUAAGGUGUGUGGUGGAGGACUUAGAGGAGAAGAAAAACACCAAGGCAAAACAAUACUCCAUGGUUUCUUGGUUGAAGGAAGGCAACAGGAACACACGCGCCGCCUCUCAUCUCCGGCUGCUCGCCGGUCAUCGCCCCGCCAAACGCAGCCGCACCCCCGUCACCCCCGGCUGCUUCCUUGCCUUCACCGCCGUCCUCGGCCGUAGGACGCCGCCACACUUCCUAUCUGCAUCGUCCUGCUGGCGGAUCGAGGUCACGGCACGGACGACCCAUCAUCUCCGACGGCGGAUCUGGCCGUGGGCGAGGAUGCCGAGCCACCUGCUCCAGUCACGGCCAUCCCGACUCCUCGUCCACCCCCUGCCCCGUCCGGUUCAUUUUGGUUCGUCCUUCAUCCCGUCCACGCCGAUUUUGUUUACCUUAUUACGAUGUCCCACCUCAUCUCGUGCUCCUGACAUGCCGAGGGGGCGAGAGGAUAUCCUCUCAUCUCUCUCCCAGGGAUGCCCUGCACUCUCCUCUCUAUGUCUGCUAGCGGUGGCGGCUGCCGGAAAUAGAGGGGACCAGUGGCAACGUGGAAUGGUACCCAGGGGCGUUCUGGUACAGCGAGAGAGGAAGCAGAUGAAUGUGCCACAUGUGAGAGGGAGAGCUUUGAUGUGUUUCGGUUGGAUGAAAUGGAGUGUGUUGGUGCAGGUGCGAUGCAUCCGAUUGACUAUAGGAGGACCGAGGACAUGUGGUGAGGCGCUGUGCCCUGUGGCACAACGACAAGGCUUUAGUGAUUUAUAUGACCACACAAUGUUGGCUAAAACAGUACAAAUUGGCUUUUUAAAAGAGGAACAAAUGAUCGUCAAUGGUGCACUAAACCAUGAGAGUGUGGCGCCUUCUGUGUUGUGGACUUGGCAUGGGCUGGCUUCUAAAAAGGAUUGUCUCGAAGGAAAUGAAGCUUACCAACAAGGAAAUUAUGGUGAGGAGCACUCUUCUGCCCCCUUGGUAAUACAGAGAAAAAGGAUUGUCUCGAAGGAAAUGAAGCUUACCAACAAGGAAAUUAUGGUGAGGAGGCACUCUUCUGCCCCCUUGGUAAUACAGAGGGCAUCAGGGGUGGCACACACGUCCCACUUGGUGGCGGUGGCAGAUCGGCAAGAACAAGGGUGGGGUUGUAUUAAGGAGGAGAGCGGGGCGGUUGGCGAGGGACUGGCGAGGGACUCCUCCUUGGCGGUCCGUGGGGAAAAUAAUUGUGUCACCAGCUCUAGGAAUGCAAGUUGUAACCCCUUUGUAUAUGUCCAUGAACGAGAACACAUCGUUCUGUAUAUCUUUCCGUAA